rnacentral:rRNA from 1 species
AACGAACGCUGGCGGCAUGCCUAACACAUGCAAGUCGAACGAGACCUUCGGGUCUAGUGGCGCACGGGUGCGUAACGCGUGGGAAUCUGCCCUUGGGUUCGGAAUAACAGCGAGAAAUUGCUGCUAAUACCGGAUGAUGACGUAAGUCCAAAGAUUUAUCGCCCAAGGAUGAGCCCGCGUAGGAUUAGCUAGUUGGUGGGUAAAGGCUCACCAAGGCGACGAUCCUUAGCUGGUCUGAGAGGAUGAUCAGCCACACUGGGACUGAGACACGGCCCAAACUCCUACGGGAGGCAGCAGUGGGGAAUCUUGCGCAAUGGGCGAAAGCCUGACGCAGCCAUGCCGCGUGAAUGAUGAAGGUCUUAGGAUUGUAAAAUUCUUUCACCGGGGACGAUAAUGACGGUACCCGGAGAAGAAGCCCCGGCUAACUUCGUGCCAGCAGCCGCGGUAU